rnacentral:rRNA from 1 species
UGCAGUCGAGCGGUAGAGAGGUGCUUGCACCUCUUGAGAGCGGCGGACGGGUGAGUAAUGCCUAGGAAUCUGCCUGGUAGUGGGGGAUAACGUCCGGAAACGGACGCUAAUACCGCAUACGUCCUACGGGAGAAAGCAGGGGACCUUCGGGCCUUGCGCUAUCAGAUGAGCCUAGGUCGGAUUAGCUAGUUGGUGGGGUAAAGGCUCACCAAGGCGACGAUCCGUAACUGGUCUGAGAGGAUGAUCAGUCACACUGGAACUGAGACACGGUCCAGACUCCUACGGGAGGCAGCAGUGGGGAAUAUUGGACAAUGGGCGAAAGCCUGAUCCAGCCAUGCCGCGUGUGUGAAGAAGGUCUUCGGAUUGUAAAGCACUUUAAGUUGGGAGGAAGGGUCGUUACCUAAUACGUGACGAUUUUGACGUUACCGACAGAAUAAGCACCGGCUAACUCUGUGCA